UCAUAUGCUUGUCUCAAAAAUUACCUCUUAAAUGUCUAAUUAUAAAUGAUUAUACAGUGAAACUGCAAAUGGCUCAUUAAAUCAUUUAUAAUUUAUUUGAUCUUAACUUACUACUUGAAUAACCGUGGUAAUUCUAAAGCUAAUACAUGCGUUAAAACCCGACUUCUGGAAGGGUUGUAUUUAUUAAAUAAAAAACCAAUGCGGGCAACCGCUUCUUUGGUGAUUCAUAGUAACUUCUCAAAUCGUAUGGCCUUGUGCUGGCGAUGAUUCAUUCAAAUUUCUGCCCUAUCAACUUUCAAUGGUAGGAUAGAGGCCUACCAUGGUUUUAACGGUUAACGGAAAAUUAGGGUUCGAUUCCGGAGAGGGAGCCUGAAAAACGGCUACCACUUCUACGGAAGGCAGCAGGCGCGCAAAUUACCCAAUGGUGACUCACCGAGGUAGUGACAAUAAAUAACAAUGCAGGUCCUUAUGGAUCGCCAACUGAAAUGA
rnacentral:rRNA from 1 species